UAUUGGAUCAUAGAUGCAUAAUGCAUUUAUUGAAUGAUACAUUAAAAUUUCUUAUUGCCAGUCAUAUUUUUUGGCCUCACCACCCCACACGCCAUGAAGAUAGAUGCCAUCACUCUUUGCUGUCCAAAAGCAAGAAUCUAAUUUGCAUUCGGUCUCUCCCCAUUUUGACCUAAAAACAUCGAAACUUCGCUUCUUUGAACCCCAUCCAAGAGUGCAGAAAAACAAUGUAUCUCUAAAGACGCUAUCACAAAACGUCCAGUGGAAUUCUUGAUUAUGAGUAAGAGUAUGAUGCCCAAGGUCAUCAUCUUUAGAUGCACAAUGCAACGACAAUUCAGAUCCAGGUGGUAGGUUAUUGAUGAUAUAUAUAUCAUAUCUUAAAGUUAUAUAACAACGGGCGUGAGAAAGGCUGAUGCAUCCCAAUAAAAUGAGAAAUAAAAAGAGAGUUUUCAUCAUGAUAACAAUAUUUUAGGUUGUUGUAAAAUGAAAAUUGGUGCUUUGAUCUAAGAUUUUAGAAGGC
rnacentral:lncRNA from 1 species